UAGAUACUUAAGUAAGCAGUUUUUCUUUUUUUAACUAGAAGUACCAAGUCUUUAAAAUGUGUCAUUGAUUCAGUGGAAAGAAAUACGGGCUGCUUGUUAAUGGCAGAAGAGAACAGGCAUGAACAAGUCCCUCCUUCCCUUGCUCUCUGGGUGGUCUGGUGCUACCUGUG